rnacentral:rRNA from 1 species
CGCGUAGGUGGUUCGUUAAGUUGGAUGUGAAAUCCCCGGGCUCAACCUGGGAACUGCAUUCAAAACUGACGAGCUAGAGUAUGGUAGAGGGUGGUGGAAUUUCCUGUGUAGCGGUGAAAUGCGUAGAUAUAGGAAGGAACACCAGUGGCGAAGGCGACCACCUGGACUGAUACUGACACUGAGGUGCGAAAGCGUGGGGAGCAAACA